UCCAUUGCCAACCCGUAGGAUCAUGUCACCUUCUCUCAACCUCCUAUUUUCUAUUAGAUCCUGUAUUGAGGUACAUAUAUGAGCACUCGAGCCAAAGUCUAAUAUCCAAAUAGAAGUAAAAGAAACCAUAAGGUUAGAUUUAAUUAUGAGCAUACCUUCCGAAGAUUUAUCAUCCCUUUUGAUCUUUAGGCUCUUCAGGUAAAAUAGACAGUUCGUCCUUCAAUGGCCUUCAGCAUCACAAUGAAAAUACUUUUCCUUUGCUUCGGCC
rnacentral:lncRNA from 1 species